rnacentral:rRNA from 1 species
AUUGAACGCUGGCGGCAGGCUUAACACAUGCAAGUCGAGCGAGCGGCGGACGGGUGAGUAAUGUCUGGGAAACUGCCUGAUGGAGGGGGAUAACUACUGGAAACGGUAGCUAAUACCGCAUACCCUCAGAUGUGCCCAGAUGGGAUUAGCUAGUAGGUGGGGUAAUGGCUCACCUAGGCGACGAUCCCUAGCUGGUCUGAGGGGAUGACCAGCCACACUGGAACUGGUACACGGUCCAGACUCCAACGGGAGGCAGCAGUGGGGAAUAUUGCACAAUGGGCGCAAGCCUGAUGCCACCAUGCCGCGUGUUUGAAAAAGGCCUUCGGGUUUUAAAGCAAUUUCAUCGAGGGGGCGUUACUCGCAGAAGAAGCAACGGCUAACUCCGUGCCAGCAGCCGCGGUAAUAC